GACGUAGGGCGCGAGCGUUGUCCGGAUUAUUGGGCGUAAAGAGCUCGUAGGCGGCUGUCGCGUCGACUGAAAUCAUCAGGCUCAACUCUGACUUGCAGUCGAUACGGGCAGGCUAGAGUUCGGUAGGGGAGACUGGAAUUCCUGGUGUAGGCGGUGAAAUGCGCGAGUAUAGGAGGAACACCGGUGGCGGAAGGCGGGUCCUCUGGGCCGAUACUGACGCUGAGGA
rnacentral:rRNA from 1 species